UUGUAUAAAUUUAAAUAAUUCAAAAAGAGUCGUGAAAAAAAAAGAAGGAACUGCUGCAAUUUCAAUUGAUAAUGGUGUUAACAGUGAGUGUUUGAAUGUAAAUGAUGAUAAAGAAAAAACAAAAGAUCCAUUACAAGAUGCAUGGUUAAUGAAUUCUGCUUAGCCAUUUCAUAUUUGCUCAAAGAAGGAGUGUUCUGAUGUGAUUGAAAAGAAGAAAAGAGAGAAAGUUAAGCUAACCAAUGGGAACAAGAUG
rnacentral:misc_RNA from 1 species